AUUGAACGCUGGCGGCAGGCCUAACACAUGCAAGUCGAGCGGAGCGGCGGACGGGUGAGUAAUGCCUAGGAAUCUGCCUGGUAGUGUGGGAUAACGUCCGGAAACGGGCGCUAAUACCGCAUACUAUCAGAUGAGCCUAGGUCGGAUUCGCUAGUUGGAGGGGUAAGGGCCUACCAAGGCGACGAUCCGUAACUGGUCUGGGAGGAUGAUCAGUCAAACUGGAACUGAGACACGGUCCAUAUUCCUACGGGAGGCAGCAGUGGGGAAGAUUGUGCAAUGGGCGAAAGCCUGAUGCAGCCAUGCCGCGUGUGUGAAGAAGGUCUUCGGAUUGUAAAGCACUUUAAGUUGGGAGGCGUUACCAACAGAAUAAGCACCGGCUAACUUCGUGCCAGCAGCCGCGGUAAUAC
rnacentral:rRNA from 1 species